AUUGAACGCUGGCGGUAUGCUUAACACAUGCAAGUCGAACGGCAGCAUGGUCUAGCUUGCUAGACUGAUGGCGAGUGGCGGACGGGUGAGUAACGCGUAGGAAUAUGCCUUGAAGAGUGGGACAACUUGGGGAAACUCAAGCUAAUACCGCAUGUACUCGAGAGAGUAAAGCUGGGGACCUUUAGGCCUGGCGCUUUAAGAUUAGCCUGCGUACGAUUAGCUAGUUGGUAGGGUAAAGGCCUACCAAGGCGACGAUCGGUAGCUGGUCAGAGAGGAUGAUCAGCCACACUGGAACUGAGAGACGGUCCACACUCCUACUGGAGGCAGCAGUGGGGAAUAUUGGACAAUGGGGGGAACCCUGAUCCAGCAAUGCCGCGUGUGUGAAGAAGGCCUGAGGGUUGUAAAGCACUUUCAGUGGGGAGGAGGUUUGGAAGGUUAAGAGCUAUUCAAAUGGACGUUACCCACAGAAGAAGCACCGGCUAACUCCGUGCCAGCCGCCGCCGUAA
rnacentral:rRNA from 1 species